rnacentral:rRNA from 1 species
UACGUAGGGGGCGAGCGUUACCCGGAUUCACUGGGCGUAAAGCGGGUGUAGGCGGCUCGGUAAGUCGGGUGUGAAAUCCCACAGCUCAACUGUGGAAUUGCGCCCGAAACUGCUGAGCUUGGGGCCGGUAGAGGGAGACGGAACUGCCGGUGUAGGGGUGAAAUCCGUAGAUAUCAGCAGGAACGCCGGUGGAGAAGUCGGUCUCCUGGGCCGUUCCUGACGCUGAGGCCCGAAAGCUAGGGGAGCAAACCGG